UGGUAAUAAUGGCAGAGAGGUCACACCCGUUCCCAUACCGAACACGGAAGUUAAGCUCUCUAGCGCCGAUGGUAGUUGGGACCUUGUCCCUGUGAGAGUAGGACGUCGCCAAGCA
rnacentral:rRNA from 2 species